rnacentral:rRNA from 1 species
AAAGGGUCCGUAGGCGGACUCGUAAGUCAGUGGUGAAAUCUCAUAGCUUAACUAUGAAACUGCCAUUGAUACUGCGGGUCUUGAGUAAGGUAGAGGUAGCUGGAAUAAGUAGUGUAGCGGUGAAAUGCAUAGAUAUUACUUAGAACACCAAUUGCGAAGGCAGGUUACCAUGUCUUAACUGACGCUGAUGGACGAAAGCGUGGGGAGCGAACAGGAUUAGAUACCCCAGU